GUCCUUUAAAAAAAAUCUAAUUACAUUUUAUUUGUCACAUGAAUACAACAGAUGGAAUGCUUACAGUGAAAUGCUUUCUUACAAGCCCUUAACCAACAAAACUUUAAGAAGUGAAGAAACUUGUUUUUAUUUUUCACUAUAAACAUUUAACAAAUAAUUAAACAGCAGCAGUUAAAUAACAAUAGCGAUAUGUACAAGUAGGUAGAGUUGAAGUGACUAUGCAUAGUAGCAGCAGUGUAAAAGAGGGGUCUGGGUAGCCCUUUGAUUGGCUGUUCAGGAGUCUUAUGGCUUGGGGGUAGAAGCAGUUAAUCGCAAAUCUAGAAGAGGAGUAUGAAGAUCUGUAGGAUGUAGUACCGUCUCUUAUUGAGGAAUCUGCAAAGUAUUUAGAUCGCUUUGAAGCCCAACCCACUCUCCAAUGCAGAGGACAUCGAUCUGCUCAUCCAAGGUGAGGGGACAGAGGCCAAACCAGGCUUCUGGCUCGUACUGAAGGUGAGGGGACAGAGGCCAAACCAGGCUUCUGGCUCGUACUGAAGGUGAGGGGACAGAGGCCAAACCAGGCUUCUGGCUCGUACUGAAGGUGAGGGGACAGAGGCCAAACCAGGCUUCUGGCUCGUACUGAAGGUGAGGGGACAGAGGCCAAACCAGGCUUCUGGCUCGCACUGAAGGUGAGGGGACAGAGGCCAAACCAGGCUUCUGGCUCGCACUGAAG
ensembl:lncRNA